GAUUGAUGCGUCUACGGAUUCAUCAACAUGUCCUUGUUUUGUUCAAGGGAGUCUAAAUCCCUCGCUUUCAAAGCGUAAACACAUGAACAAUG
rnacentral:sRNA from 18 species